UAGAAUUUUUAUUAGCUUAGAGUAUUUAAUUUGCAUUUAGAUUAUGACUUUAUGUCCUAAGUUGGUAUA
rnacentral:tRNA from 1 species